GAUGAACGCUGGCGGCGUGCCUAAUACAUGCAAGUCGAGCGAACGGACGAGAAGCUUGCUUCUCUGAUGUUAGCGGCGGACGGGUGAGUAACACGUGGAUAACCUACCUAUAAGACUGGGAUAACUUCGGGAAACCGGAGCUAAUACCGGAUAAUAUUUUGAACCGCAUGGUUCAAAAGUGAAAGACGGUCUUGCUGUCACUUAUAGAUGGAUCCGCGCUGCAUUAGCUAGUUGGUAAGGUAACGGCUUACCAAGGCAACGAUGCAUAGCCGACCUGAGAGGGUGAUCGGCCACACUGGAACUGAGACACGGUCCAGACUCCUACGGGAGGCAGCAGUAGGGAAUCUGCCGCAAUGGGCGAAAGCCUGACGGAGCAACGCCGCGUGAGUGAUGAAGGUCUUCGGAUCGUAAACUCUGUUAUUAGGGAAGAACAUAUGUGUAAGUAACUGUGCACAUCUUGACGGUACCUAAUCAGAAAGCCACGGCUAACUACGUG
rnacentral:rRNA from 1 species